rnacentral:tRNA from 1 species
GCCGAGGUGGUGGAACUGGUAGACACGCAGGACUUAAAAUCCUGUGAGCUUUUAAACUCGUACGGGUUCGAUUCCCGUCCUCGGUACCA